rnacentral:rRNA from 11 species
UAAAGAAAGCGUAAUAGCUCACUAGUCGAGUCGGCCUGCGCGGAAGAUGUAACGGGGCUAAAACUAUAUGCCGAAGCUGCGGAUUUGCAAUUUAUUGCAAGUGGUAGGGGAGCGUUCUGUAAGCCGAUGAAGGUGUAUUGAGAAGUAUGCUGGAGGUAUCAGAAGUGCGAAUGCUGACGUGAGUAACGACAAAACGGGUGAAAAACCCGUUCGCUGAAAGACCAAGGGUUCCAGUCCAACGUUAAUCGGGGCUGGGUGAGUCGACCCCUAAGGCGAGGCCGAGAGGCGUAGUCGAUGGGAAAUUGGUUAAUAUUCCAAUACUUCUAUGUAAUGCGAUGAGAGGACGGAGAAGGUUAAGUCAGCCUGGCGUUGGUUGUCCAGGUGGAAGGUUGUAGGCAUGUAUCUUAGGCAAAUCCGGGGUACUGUAUGCUGAGAACUGAUAGCAAGCUGUACUUGUACAGUGAAGUGGCUGAUACCAUGCUUCCAGGAAAAGUCUCUAAGCUUCAGUUACAUAGGAAUCGUACCCGAAACCGACACAGGUGGACUGGUAGAGAAUACCAAGGCGCUUGAGAGAACUUGGGUGAAGGAACUAGGCAAAAUGGUACCGUAACUUCGGGAGAAGGUACGCUGCCGACGGUGAUAGGAUUUACUCCUUGAGCUAUUGGCAGCCACAGAAACCAGGCCCCUGCAACUGUUUAUUAAAAACAUAGCACUCUGCAAACACGAAAGUGGACGUAUAGGGU